rnacentral:rRNA from 1 species
AUUGAACGCUGGCGGCAUGCCUUACACAUGCAAGUCGAACGGCAGCACGGGAGCAAUCCUGGUGGCGAGUGGCGAACGGGUGAGUAAUAUAUCGGAACGUGCCCAGUAGUGGGGGAUAGCCCGGCGAAAGCCGGAUUAAUACCGCAUGAGACCUGAGGGUGAAAGCGGGGGAUCGCAAGACCUCGCGCUACUGGAGCGGCCGAUAUCAGAUUAGCUAGUUGGUGGGGUAAAGGCCUACCAAGGCAACGAUCUGUAGUUGGUCUGAGAGGACGACCAGCCACACUGGGACUGAGACACGGCCCAGACUCCUACGGGAGGCAGCAGUGGGGAAUUUUGGACAAUGGGCGCAAGCCUGAUCCAGCAAUGCCGCGUGCAGGAAGAAGGCCUUCGGGUUGUAAACUGCUUUUGUCAGGGAAGAAAUCCUCUGGGAUAAUACCUCGGGGGGAUGACGGUACCUGAAGAAUAAGCACCGGCUAACUACGUG